rnacentral:rRNA from 1 species
UACGUAGGUGGCAAGCGUUGUCCGGAAUUAUUGGGCGUAAAGCGCGCGCAGGCGGUCUUUUAAGUCUGAUGUGAAAGCCCCCCGGCUCAACCGGGGAGGGUCAUUGGAAACUGGGAGACUUGAGUGCAGAAGAGAAGAGUGGAAUUCCACGUGUAGCGGUGAAAUGCGUAGAGAAUGUGGAGGAACACCAGUGGCGAAGGCGACUCUUUGGUCUGUAACUGACGCUGAGGCGCGAAAGCGUGGGGAGCAAACAGG